CUGUCUGUCCACACUCAGCUCUCUGAGGGAGGUGCCUCUUCUUGGACGUGAAAGUGAACUUCCUUAUUUUCCUCUCUGCACUUUCUAAUGCAGCAAAAGAUGAGCUGCAUGAGCAAGAGAACAAGCAAAGUGCAAAGGCAGCCCCAGGGACAGCCCCAGCUCUCUGUGAAGAGGACACCCUGCAGCCCAUGCUGCUCCCAGCCACCCACCUGCGACUGUCCAGGCGUGUGCCCCGGCGUGCUCAGGAGGGCCACCUUUUACAGAAAGGGUGGUUGAACUCACUGCUGGUAACCACGAUGUAGGCAUUUUCUCUGUGCUCAAACGCUUCGACGAGGCCAUUUCAAGGGAGAUAGCAUGAUGUAAUGUUGGUGACAGCACAACUGCCAUCCUACAAAAGAGAAGAGCAUUGUGAUCUCAAUGGAAGAGAGAAGUGAGGCUUUCAUCUGGAAGCUCACAUCCAUUUGCUGCAGUAAUUGCAAUCUUUGAGCAGCACUGGGAGUGGAAAUUACACACAAGCAGCUAAAUACAGAUGACAUCAUCUUGCCACUCACAAAUCUUAUGAGUCUGACAGCCCAGAAGGUGGCGUACACUAGAAGGAAUACAAUUCCAACUAAAUUGACAAAUUUUGUGUGUUUUUGAGAGGAAGUAUUUUCAUAAAGGUUUUCCUCUUCGUCUUUUUUUUUUUUCAGGUUUGGCAAUUGCCAUACAAUAACAUUAUGACCAUGACAAGGAGCCAUUAGCUUCCGCCAGAGCCACGCCCAACAGUUCCCUCUGUGUGGGACUAUACGAGUUCCAGAGCUCUUUCUCCUUAGAGCAUUCACAGCUUGGGGCUCCAGAGUUGCAACAAGUCUGUACAUGCACUCUUGUGCUUUAGCCCUCACACAGUUUCCCUGUCCUGCUAAUUACUGGGGCUUUUCAGUUAGGCUACCAGAGCUCACACAUGCCAUACACAGACUGAAGUUCUCCUGGGUCAGAAAGAGUGUUUCCUACCUAAUUCUGCAGCUGCUCUUGUGUGUUGGAGGGGAUGCUGGACAUAUUUUUCUAUGCUCAAAUUCUUUUCCACUAAAUGACACACACCUUCUGUACAUAACCUGGAGCUCUAGUGUCACUGUCAUUCUGGAUAUGGGAUUAUGUCCAUUUUAUGGAACCACCUAUACUGGUAAUGAGAAAAAUAGGAAUAAAGGAAAAAGGGGAAAUUUCAAAGGAAUAAAUGCACCCAAACCACAAGGCACUCUUGACACAAAUGAGGCUUUGGGGAAAAAUCCCCAUGUCUCUGAUUUGCUGACUCUCAUGGCUUGUCUAGUGCAUUUACGAUUAAGUGAGAAAUUGGUUUUACUAUGAUUUAAUCAUCAGUUUCUUCACUAUCCACUCCUCUUUUGGUGGCUUAACAACCCAUGUGUUUCAAUAUUGACCACCAAAAAGGUAAGGCAUUAGCAUUACCUUUCCAGGACAGCUGUAAUUCCUGGACCCCGUAUAUGGAUGAGAUGGCCACACUGCAACAGCGCCACCUCUGGCUAGGAGGACUCACCACAAUUCUAAACGACUGGGUCCCAUUCUGGUGCUUACACAUUUCAGUGUGUCUCAUAACCCUGAGGAAUGUUUGGAAAUACUGGUUCCAUGGACCUUCUUAGAGCUCAUGGAGAGGAUGUCAAACAAAGUGUUAUUUAGAAAGAAAAAUGAUUUAAAAUAUCAGGACUUGAGAGAGUCUUCUCUCUCUGGGUCCCCAGUCUGGACCUCCCCAGGGGAAUCUUGGGCUUUCAUCUAUCUUUGUUUUCUUAUUAUAGUCCUGUUACAGCAUUAGUUUAGACAUAAUUUAUAUUAAAUUUAAGUGGAAGUGCAUUUCCACUAUAAUGAGAAUUCCCUGGGGUACAGCAAUCACCUCUCAUUAAUCUCGAUAUUCCCCUCAAAGUACCCAUUCAAUAAAAGUCUGCUGAAUUAUGAAUAUCUGGCUGAAUAUCUAGAAAGAGCCACUAGAGUAUUAAUAGUGUGAUUCAUGAACUUGAUAUGCAUAAUCAGGUAUACCAGUUGUAUGAAAUCUUUGGAGUGAAGAUAUAUCAGAAUUUUUCAGAUUUUCAAAAGUUGAAAUAGUUCAUGUAUUAUGUAUUAUGUAGCACAUUAUCAGUGUGUACAUUUACAAAUAUUAUAAGCAAAAGAAUAAAUAAAGACUAAC